GGGCCUAUAACAUAAUGGUAGUGUGCGUCCUUUGCAAGGACGAAGCGCCGGUUCGAUUCCGGCUAGGUCCA
rnacentral:tRNA from 1 species